AUAAAUUUAUCAAUUUGGGCAAAAAAUAAAGAAAGAAAAGUAACUCCUCCUAAAGAAGGCAUUCAGAAUAAAAACUACUUUUCUAAUCUAACUAUUUUCUAAUCUAACUAUUUUCUAAUCUAACUAUUUUCUAAUCUAACUAUAUGACCUGCUAGCAGUAGGUAUAUUAGCAAAUAAUAAGAGGAAAUACCGAGAAAAUCAAUCUUGCUCUGCAUGGUUCAAAGGGAACCAUCAAGAAAAUGAAAAGACAACACACACAGUGGGAGAAAAUGCUUGAAAGUCAUGUAUCUUCAUAGGGGACUUAUACCUAGAACAGCUAAAGAAGUUUUACAACUCAAUCA
rnacentral:lncRNA from 1 species